UACGUAGGGGGCAAGCGUUGUCCGGAUUUAUUGGGCGUAAAGAGCUCGUAGGCGGUUUGUCGCGUCUGCUGUGAAAACCCGAGGCUCAACCUCGGGCCUGCAGUGGGUACGGGCAGACUAGAGUGCGGUAGGGGAGAUUGGAAUUCCUGGUGUAGCGGUGGAAUGCGCAGAUAUCAGGAGGAACACCAAUGGGCGAAGGCAGAUCUCUGGGCCGUAACUGACGCUGAGGAGCGAAAGCAUGGGGAGCGAACAGG
rnacentral:rRNA from 1 species